UGGGGAAUAUUGGACAAUGGGCGAAAGCCUGAUCCAGCCAUGCCGCGUGUGUGAAGAAGGUCUUCGGAUUGUAAAGCACUUUAAGUGGGGAGGAAAAGCUUAUGGUUAAUACCCAUAAGCCCUGACGUUACCCACAGAAUAAGCACCGGCUAACUCUGUGCCAGCAGCCGCGGUAAUACAGAGGGUGCAAGCGUUAAUCGGAAUUACUGGGCGUAAAGCGCGCGUAGGUGGUUAUUUAAGUCAGAUGUGAAAGCCCCGGGCUUAACCUGGGAACUGCAUCUGAUACUGGAUAACUAGAGUAGGUGAGAGGGGAGUAGAAUUCCAGGUGUAGCGGUGAAAUGCGUAGAGAUCUGGAGGAAUACCGAUGGCGAAGGCAGCUCCCUGGCAUCAUACUGACACUGAGGUGCGAAAGCGUGGGUAGCAAACAGGAUUAGAUACCCUGGUAGUCCACGCCGUAAACGAUGUCUACCAGUCGUUGGGUCUUUUAAAGACUUAGUGACGCAGUUAACGCAAUAAGUAGACCGCCUGGGGAGUACGGCCGCAAGGUUA
rnacentral:rRNA from 1 species